ensembl:piRNA 21ur-1061 ncRNA
UGUCAGUGGCUUUGAUUCCGU